CUCGAAUGGCCUUCACUACCCUGGAGAAUAACACUACAGAAAUGGGACACCCUACGGUCUUGCACCCCUUAGCGAGAACGCGCAAUUGAGGGACACAAGGGCGCAAGUUGCGGAUAUUGGGGCAGGAACACGAUGCAUCAGUGUUGCACCAUUUACCCCAAAGUUAUAUUCCCCAAAGGUUAUGUUUAAUGCGAGGCCAGUGGGCCAUAAUUCCAUAGUCAUACAUUUCUAUCUAAAAAACAACUACAUAUAUCUGAAUUUCGGCUGUGGUUUCAUUGUGCUUAAGCGGUUCAAUUGUACGGUUAAACUCAACAGUCAAAGUAGAAGAAUGCACCACGGGAAUUUAGAAUCACUUCGUAAAACUUUAUUUAAAAAAGGAGGAGCCCAAGCACGUGACGUGUUCGAUGGAGUGAAUAAAAAGCGUAGGACGCCAGCAAUCGUCCCACUUCCUUCUCUGAUCUGGUCGAGGUAAGGUUACUUUCUUUUCCCCCACUUUCUACAAACGAGCGCCUUUUAAGGACAUUUUUCUGCAUUAACUUUUGGGUUUUAUAAGGCGCGCCUUGAUACAUUUUAUCCUAAUGGCGGAUUAGAUGCAGUCGGCUACUGGAAACAAUCUGAUGCUCAGCAAUUUAACACUGAGGCCAGAAAGGAAAAGGACAAACUUGCUGGUUUGUUCUGUGACUGGAGGAUGUUGGGCUCUGUUAUAAUGAUGGGUUGUGCUGGUUCAUGUUCUGUGUCCGGAGUCUGACUUCUGAAUUGCCAUUGUACAGCUGUUAUGAGUGCUGGACAGAAUUCCAGACUACAAGACUGCAAUCCCUGAUGUGCCUUGAGUUCAGACAUGGGUAGUUCCAGGAUCUCGGGCAUUAAUUGGUUGUUGCCCCUUUGUGGUCAGUGGACUUGCAGUCUUUACUGAACUCACUGGAGUUUACUGUCCUCACUGAAGAUUGUGGCAGUUCUGGGUUGCAGAGUUAUUCAGGUGUCAUGAGGCUGAGAAGGGAUGUUACUAAGAUGUUCCCUCCGUUAUGCAACUAAGCCUAGAUGGACUCAAGGUUCUGCCUUCCAGACCAGUAAUUUGAAAAUAUUUGCUGUGGACAGUGAAGUCUAAAGAACCCCCUCAACCAGCAGUGAUGUCUUGCUGUGGUUGGAACAUUGCUGGCCAUUUCAACACUUUUAACCUUAAACAUGGAUUUCUAACAUUUCCAUGUUUUCUUUUGUGGUAAAUUAAUGUGAGUUAGUAGUGAACUUACAGCACUGGUGUGUUUGAUGGGUCAAUAUUGCUGUAAAUGUUGAUGCAAAUUUUUGUCUUUGUCGCCAUCUGCAUGCUGUUCUGUAGGACACAAUUGGAUGUUGAUGGAAUGACUUAAAUAUUAGCUACAGCUGAUGCGUAAGUGGAGUAAUGUCUGCAUACAUUUAUCAAUCUUGAGCUGCCUGGCAAGGGUGUUGUAAUGCUGCUGCUCUAUGAAGUGUAUAGUUAAAAUGAAAUGAUUAGGGGUGAAAACAGUCAUUGUUCUGGAGCAUGUGGAUAUGCUACUUGUCUAAACAAGAAUAAAACAUUGUCAUAAUAUGGAUAUUGCCUGAUUUCUUGAUGGGUUUUUAGGAUCUUUCAUCCAUGGAGGCACUAGCCAGGGUUUGUUCAUUUUAUAAAUACUAUUAAGCUUUGUUCCAAUACAAUUUUAUUCGCUACCUGGCAGAUGGUGGUACGUUUAAUUUAAUGCAGACAAAUGUAACUCGGUCUGUAUAUAAAACAAAACUAAGUUUAAUUUGUAUAGUCUUCAUGGACUGUUAAAAUGCUGUUUAGAUGGUCUAAUGCAUCAUGUCCAGAACAUUCUAUUAGCUGUUACCUAAUGUAAGGUAAUUCAUACAU
ensembl:lncRNA